GACGAACGCUGGCGGCGUGCCUAAUACAUGCAAGUCGAGCGGACAGAUGGGAGCUUGCUCCCUGAAGUCAGCGGCGGACGGGUGAGUAACACGUGGGCAACCUGCCUGUAAGACUGGGAUAACUUCGGGAAACCGGAGCUAAUACCGGAUAAUCCUUUUCCUUUCAUGAGGAAAAGCUGAAAGACGGUUUCGGCUGUCACUUACAGAUGGGCCCGCGGCGCAUUAGCUAGUUGGUGAGGUAACGGCUCACCAAGGCGACGAUGCGUAGCCGACCUGAGAGGGUGAUCGGCCACACUGGGACUGAGACACGGCCCAGACUCCUACGGGAGGCAGCAGUAGGGAAUCUUCCGCAAUGGACGAAAGUCUGACGGAGCAACGCCGCGUGAGUGAUGAAGGCCUUCGGGUCGUAAAGCUCUGUUGUUAGGGAAGAACAAGUAUCGGAGUAACUGCCGGUACCUUGACGGUACCUAACCAGAAAGCCACGGCUAACUACGUGCCAGCAGCCGCGGUAAUACGUAGGUGGCAAGCGUUGUCCGGAAUUAUUGGGCGUAAAGCGCGCGCAGGCGGUCCUUUAAGUCUGAUGUGAAAGCCCACGGCUCA
rnacentral:rRNA from 1 species